AACGAACGCUGGCGGCAUGCCUAACACAUGCAAGUCGAACGAGACCUUCGGGUCUAGUGGCGCACGGGUGCGUAACGCGUGGGAAUCUGCCCUCUGGUACGGAAUAACUCAGGGAAACUUGAGCUAAUACCGUAUAAUGACUCCGGUCCAAAGAUUUAUCGCCUGAGGAUGAGUCCGCGUCUGAUUAGCUAGUUGGUGAGGUAAAAGCUCACCAAGGCGACGAUCCGUAGCUGGUCUGAGAGGAUGAUCAGCCACACUGGGACUGAGACACGGCCCAGACUCCUACGGGAGGCAGCAGUGGGGAAUAUUGGACAAUGGGCGAAAGCCUGAUCCAGCAAUACCGCGUGAGUGAUGAAGGCCCUAGGGUUGUAAAGCUCUUUUACCCGGGAUGAUAAUGACAGUACCGGGAGAAUAAGCCCCGGCUAACUCCGUGCCAGCAGCCGCCGUAAGAC
rnacentral:rRNA from 1 species